UGGUCAAGUGUUUAAUUCACAUUCUAGGUUG
rnacentral:piRNA from 1 species